UUUUUAUUAAUAAAAUUCCCUCAUAUGGUACAUUUACGAAUAUAGUAGCAAUAAAGUUGUAAAUGUAGAAUAAUUUCUACAGUAAUAUAUUAUGUGUAAACUUAGGUGUACGCUUUAGCCUUUUUAUGACGCUUUCUGUCUACGAAAAGCUUGCAGUAGUGUUAUGUUUUCUAAAACAUAUUCGUGCUGAUUGACAUGUAUUAUUAUGUUUAGAAGUAAGCAUGACUUGAUUAUUUUGAGGCAUCGGUCACUUUUAUAGAUUAUGUACAGUAAUUUAAAAUAAAAUUACUUAUCAGCGGUAUAUCAUAUCAUCAAAACAAAUCUAUACUGGAUGGUGAUGCCCUCAGUAAAAACACGUCUAUUAGCUGUGUUUUGUAGAAUCCAGCAUAGAUACCAAGUUUUUUUUUUAUGUUGGACGCUAAGCCUCUUCAAUCAUCUGUAUAACAAAUAUCUAGACAAUUUGAUAGCCAGGCACACUCCAACAACAGACGUCUAUCGCUAUAAGCAGAUUGAAUUAUGGUUAAGAAAUGAUUUUUUGCAGCAUUGUGUAUUAUCUACGAAACCUCAUUUUGUCACAAAUCUAUAGACGUAAGCGCAUUUUCUGUCCUGUGAUAUUGUUUUUACAUGUAUUUAUUUAAUAUAUAUUUAUGUUUAUAUUAAUGACGAAAGGCUCUGUCAUUUGUAUUUUACAUGACGCUGAUAUUUUUGAGUAUCUAAGAAUUCACAUACAAUGAAGAUCGAUGUUUUGUUGUUGAGUUUGAACAGGGUUUCCCAUUGGUCAGUUUUGUUUUUCGCCAACCCUUUUGGCGAAACAAUACAUGUUUCGUAAAUUUCAGUUUAAUUCAUCAACUAACAUUUACAUAUUUUUCGUUUAAA
rnacentral:lncRNA from 1 species